rnacentral:rRNA from 1 species
UAUGGAAGGCAGCAGUGGGGAAUAUUGCACAAUGGGCGCAAGCCUGAUGCAGCCAUGCCGCGUGUAUGAAGAAGGCCUUCGGGUUGUAAAGUACUUUCAGUCGUGAGGAAGGUGUUAAGGUUAAUAACCUUAGCAAUUGACGUUAGCGACAGAAGAAGCACCGGCUAACUCCGUGCCAGCAGCCGCGGUAAUACGGAGGGUGCGAGCGUUAAUCGGAAUUACUGGGCGUAAAGGGCACGCAGGCGGUUAAUAAGUUGGAUGUGAAAUCCCCGGGCUUAACCUGGGAAUGGCAUUCAAGACUGGUUAGCUAGAGUCUUGUAGAGGGGGUAGAAUUCCAUGUGUAGCGGUGAAAUGCGUAGAGAUGUGGAGGAAUACCGGUGGCGAAGGCGGCCCCUGGGACAAAGACUGACGCUCAUGUGCGAAAGCGUGGGGAGCAAACAGGAUUAGAUACC